GGAUUACUAUAAAAUGCCAGAUACAUACCCAAGAGAUGUACUACGGGGACUCCUCGAUCUAGGGUUCAACAGUCACCUGAUCUGAAAACAUGAAUUUUUUUUUAUAAAACGUGAGUACAAUACUCAGUGAGUUAACAAGAAGGGUACAAGCAUGCCAUAAGGAAUGUUUAUCGAAAUCAUGAUGCAUUCAUUUUCUUAAAACCAUUCAAUUGUUUUAGCUCUUUUAAACCCUUCAUGUAAACCCCAUAUGAGUAAAUCACUUUACAAAAAUCCAUGCUCAAUUAUGGUACCAAAGAAAUGAAAAAUAUAACAAAAACCCACAAGUUAGCAAAAUGGACAAAAAGUUUCUCGCUGUAGCGAACUUCAUUCUCGCUUCAGCGAGAACCAGAACAUCAAGGAAAAGUCUCAUUUUUCCCUUAAAACAAGUCAUCCUGCUAAAAUAACAAUAGCAACAUGUAACACAUGUAAACUUCCAAAUUUCAACAAAACAAAUGCUUACAUAUUUGCAUUUACAACCAUAUACCCAUCAUCAACAUGCACACCAUCCCAUCAUCAUCAUCUCAUAUGCAACGGCUUAUGCGCAUAUAGUCGGGUCAGCAACGGCUUAUGUGCACUCCCUAGUCGCACAUAGCCGAGUCAAUAUAAUUACACAACAUUAUAUUCAAGCAUAUAUGUAUAUCAACAUAAUGCAGCCACAUAGAAAUCCAUAAUAACCACAUUUCAUAACAUAAACCUUUUCUCAAAAGCUUGUUCCCAAGGCAUUCAUUUUCAUGAAAAAUUGCAUAAAAUCAUUCAAACACUUUGUUCAAAACAGUCAUAUUCUCAAAAUUUUGAUAGGCAGUUCACUCACCGGUAUUAGGAGUAGAAAUACUCCUAUUUUCAGUCCGCGGGUAUAGUCAUUUACUCGUAUCCAAUGGCUCACCACCUAACCAUAAUCCAUGACACAUAUUUCAAUUAAAUUGUGUCGAACAGUCAUAAGCUAUUUCAGGCUCGAUAUAUAUAUGAUAUGAAAUAAAAAAAUACACGGGUAGCCAUCUAGAUCUGGUAUUGGCCUAAGUCAAUUUUUCAUCUGAUAAAUUGGCCAAUGCGUCCAAUUUCACUCCAAAUGAAUCCAUUUCUCCUCUAAUACCUUAAUUUACCACAUACCAUUUAAAUAAAGCCAAAUUCAGCAUUAGAACUCUCACAGUUCCUAAUAGAAAAAUUCGGUCAUUUGGUGCACUAGCACCGAAAAUUUUUCUACAUAACCGUUUCACCUUAAUUCAUCAUAUUUCCAAGCCAUUUUCCUUUAAAUAAAAACAAUCCCCCAUUGAUAUUCAGCCCUCAUGGUUCGACCAACAAGGAACCCUAGAGAAAUUGAAUAUUUCUUUUGUGUUUUUGUUCAUAACCAUGCUUAACUAUCCCUAACACUAACAUAGUCUGAAAUCAAAUUAUUUCAACAACAAUUCCUCUUCCAUACCCAUUUUUCAGAAUUGAAUUCAUCAUGAUAACUCAAUAUUCGACCAUGGAAAUCAAGAACAAAAGCAUGGGUAAGCUAGGUAUCAAGGAGAAUUAAAGAAAUUCUAACUUACCUAGCUUGUUUUCUUGAUUUCUUCACUUUUUCUUUGAAUUUUCACCUAGGUUUUCUUGUUUUUCCCUUUGUUCUCCCUUUGUUCUUNUCACCUAGGUUUUCUUGUUUUUCCCUUUGUUCUUCCUUUGUUCUUGUUGCUGGUUGCCUAGGCAGAAUAUGGUGAGAGAAUUGGGGAUUUAAUGGGCUGAUUUCUAUAAAAAAUAAUAAAAUAAUCAAGCAUGCCACGUGUCACAUGCUUAUUGGCCCAAUUUUUUUAACUUUUUGACUUUUUCUUCUUAAUUUUUCACCACAAAUAUUCUGGUACUUAUCCAAUCCUACCACAAUUAAAAUCCCUUGGUCUUGACAAGUGCUGGGGCAAAAAAUUUACCGAUUUACCCUCGGGGAGGAAAAGUUACGAUUUUGCCCCUAUACUCCGAAAUGUAUCGGAAUCACAUUAUUUCUACUUUUCAACCUCAAAUAACACUAAUAUUGAUCAAUGUUAACCAAAUUGGGCAAAAAUCGUUUUAUAAAAAUUUUCGUUUAGUCCUCUAGUGGAAAAAUUACCAUUUUGCCCUUGUGCUAAAAAAAUAUCGAGAAUCACAAUUUUUCACUGCUAAACAUCAUUUUAUACUCAAAUAAUCAUAAUCGUAUCUCAUAUAAUUAUUCUUGGUCAAACGUGAUCAAAUCUUGACUAAAAAUAUCCAUUUUAUCAUCAAAUGGUAAAAUGACCGUUUUAUCCCUAAUCGGUCAAUUUUUUUUAUGGACUCCAAACUGGACCUUGAACUACGAAUCACUAUUCUAAGCCAUUCUGUGGGUUUUAAAAUUUUUAAAUUCCUCUUAGAAUUUCUAUUUGAACUAGUUCAAGGCUCGAUUUAACUUAGUUGUACCACUCGGUAUAAUACCGUCUUUUAAUCGAGCUUGACAGGGUCUCAUAGUCAGCUUGUUGAGUUCUCGAUAGUCGAUGCACAACCGUAGCGUCCCAUCAUGCUUUCGCUAGAAAAGGACAAGCGCACCAUAGGGUGCCUUGCUUGGUCGAAUGAAGCCUGCCUCAAUCAACUUUAUGAGUUGUUGGUGCAAUUCCACUAGUUUUGGGGGUGCCAUUCGAUAAGGUGCCCUCGAGAGUGGCUGCGUGCUUAGAACAAGCUCAAUUUUUUGGUCCACCUCGCGCUCGAGUGGCAAGCAGCUCGACAGCUUGGCUGGCAUGACAUCCAUGUAUUCGUCCAUUACGCUAGCUACCUUACUCGGCAUGGGUGCCGCCUUGCUGGGCUCGCCUUUGUUCAAGGAUAGCGUGGCUACAUAGGUCUCUUCACCCCUGAGUACACCAUCCGUUAGCUGUAUGGUGCUCAGCGUCUUGGUCUCGGGUUGCUACCCGCGCCUCACUAGCACCACACAUUGACCUCGUGGGUCAAGCACAACAAUGCAGUUCGAAAAAGGGACAACCAUAACAAUUAUACAGUCAAGGAAAUCUAACCUAAUAACAAAGUCAUAAUCAUCAAAAGGAAUGACUUUAAUUGACUCAUUACUGACCCACUCACCUAGCCGUAUACUCAAGUUACUAGCAGUGCCUAUGGUGGGGACUUCCUUGUUGUUGACAGUUUUGAUGUGUGCGACGCCUACCUUUACUUCCAGCCCCAGCAUUUUUACUGUCUCGACAGAGGUAAAUAGAUCACUUGCUUUCGUGUCAACCAAGGCAUUUAGCUUUUUGUCUACCACUGUAAUGUUGGUAAACAUUAAGCCCUAGCUACGGCUUGGCUUGUGUUGUUUCAAUGCUACCAGCAUCAUGGUUCCCAAUCCCAAGGAAUCACCUCGCUGCUACCCCUCAUUUUCCUCUCGUGUGAUGACAAACAACUUGGCUCUCUUGGGGCAGUCUCGGACCCAAUGUGGUUCGUCACACAGGAAGCAUUUCAAGGGUCCCUUCCCCUUGUCUUUCUUAACUUGGCUGCCUUGGUCAUACCCCGCGUGUUGCCUUGCCCGUUAGUAGUCCCCCUCGGCAGACUCUUGGUAGUGGCCUACACCUUGGCCUUACCCUUACCCGCAUCUUUCUUCGCUUCUAGUUUGUGGAACUCAAUCAAAGAUUCUGCUAUGACCAUUGCAACAGUGAUGUCUUGGACCUUAAGGCGCUGAAUCUCGUCUCGUCCAUGGUCUCAGCCCAUCAAGGAAACAGAACAAGGCUUCUCGUUCACCUAGGUCGCUAAUCUGCAGCAUUAGUUUGGUGAACUCCCUUGCGUAUUCUAGACCUCCCGUUCACUGUGUUAAUCGCCUUAAUUUCCCUCGUGCCUUGUCUUGCGUGUACUCCGGAUAGAAUUGCACUUUUAGCUCACGCACAAAGUCGGCCCAUGUUGAGAUGAUAGCUCCGUCGUGCCUUUCAUCACACCUCUUACGCCACCACAAACACGCCAAGUAAGAUACAUCGAAGCAGUAAUGAUUUUUUUACCAUCAUCGGCAAUGUUGGUGGCCCGACAGUAUUACUUCAUGCCCCAUAGAAAGUUGUCGAUGUCUUGGGCACUUUGCUGGCCUUUGAACUCCUUUGGUUUAGGGAUGUUCGCCUUGCUAGUCGGCUGCAUGGCCAAUAGCCCUCCAUCAAGGAGUGCUUUGCACGUUUCGAGCUCUCACCUUAGCUCGCUGACUUUGUGCCUUAGCUGCUCGGCCUUAGCCUCACGUUUAGCAUCACGCUGGGUUAGUCCCUCGAAGGUCUCAUUCAAGGCAGUCUGCAGCUUUUCCUGUAGCUCGACCAUCUACUCCUCAAACAGGUCCGUUUAAGCCUUGCCAUUAUCACACCGGUUAGCCAGUUCUACCACAUCCUCUUCUUGUCGUGUCAACCUGGACUCUACCUUUGUGAGGAGGUCUCUCAACAUGGGCUUCCUCUUCACCCUACCUUAACAUGCCUUUCUCGUAUCAGGGGUGGAAGCAACACCCUCGGUUUUCACUCCAUAUCUCGUGUUUGCCAUUGCUGCUUUGAUACAAGUGUCAUGGGGAUUUUCUCUUGACUAGUGCGGCCUAGCCUUUGCCUUACUCAAUGGCACUUAAAAAGGCUAGUAGCCUUCUCAAGUUAACAAGUUAGGAUCGUUUUGGCAAGCACAAGCAAGAAGAGAGAGAGAGAGAGAGAGAGAGAGAGAGAGCUUCGGGAACAAAGAGAGCUUUUAUUGCAAAGAAUUCCAAUACAAGAGUCAUUAGCCUUAAAUGAGGGGGCUCAAAGGGUUUAUAUAAGCUUAGGACCCUUGGAGCCGUUACAAGGUUAUUCCCAACGGUUGGGAACUGAUUUGAGCCAUGCUAGGCCCUCCUGACGCGCCCUUGGUUUUGUUGCCAAUGGUAGGCAAUGGCUGCCUUGCAAGCCUCGGGCUAGCUAGUGUUUCUCGCGCAUCAAGCAAACAGCCUAAGUAGCUCGGGUGCCCCAAUUUCAUGCCAAUUUUCUUGCCCUGUUGCGCACCUUUUUCCUAUUGGUUUGUGUGCCCCGUCUACGUGCUAACUCGCCCGCUUAGUCUACCUGCUAGCACGCUCACUCAGUCUGCUCGCUGGCCUGCGCGCUCAUCCACUUGCAAGUGCUGAUGCCUUCAAGUCUCUUGGCGUUAAAUUAAGGUUUCAACCCUUGUUGCUAGCCCAUCCUCGAGCUAGCUCACCUACUCUAGAGGCUCAAACCCUUGUCAUCGAGCUGUCUUGCCCCUUACCACACUUGUUUUGUUGCUUAAGGAUGGACGAGCAAUAGGAGUUGAGACUUCGAUUCGAUUUCAGGACAGCAUUAUGGGUUUAGGGAAGUGUCACGAGAGGGCAGAUGAACACAUGGGCCAGUAGACAGAUUGGGCAUGCAAGCUAGCAAGAAAAAGGCGCUUAGCAAAGCAAGUAGACUAAUGCAAAACUAGGGCAUGGGCUUCCCAAGCAGUUUGCCUAAAGCCUGCGAUGCAGUCGUUGCCUACCGUUGGGAACAGUGGCUGUGGCACAUCAAGAGGGUCCAGUAGGGCUUAAAACAGCCCCUAGCCAUUAGAAAUGGCCUUGUAACAGCUCUAAGGGGUCUAAAGCUUAUAAAUACCCCUUAAGACCUUUCAUUUAAGCCUAAUUACUCAUGCACUUGAAUUCUAUGAAAUAAAAGCUCUUUGUUCCCUAAGCUUUUUCUUCUUACUUGUACUUGCCUUAAAUGAUCCUAACUUGUUUCAAUUGAGAAGGUUGCUAGCCUUUCUAAGAGCCCUUGUGUGAGGUAAAGGUUAAGCAGCACGGGUCAAGAGAAAACCCUUAUGACACUUGGUAUCAAAGUGGCAAUGGCAAACAUAAGAUUUGAAGUAGGAACCGAGGGUGUUGCUUCCACCCCUAAUACGAGAGAGGCAUGUUUGGGUAAGGUGAAGAGGAAGUCCUAGUCGAGAGCCUCUUCACAGUGGUAGAGUCUAGGUUGACACGACAAAAGGAGCGUGUGUCAGAGUUGGCUGAUCAUUGCGAGGCUAGCAAGGUUGGAAUGACGGGUUCGAGGAACAGAUGCCUAAGCUACGAAAGGAGCUACAAACUGCCCUCAAUGAGACCCUCGAGGCACUAACCCAACGUGAUGCUAGACGAGAGGUUGAGGCCGAGUAGCUAAGGCACGAAAUGAGUGAGCUAAAGCGAGAGCUUGAGAUGUGCAAGCCACUUCUUAGGGGAGGGUUGUUGGCUAUGCAGGUGGCUAACAAGGUGGACGUCCUUAAACCAAAAGAGUUUAAAGGCCAACAAAGUGCCUUGGAUAUUGACAACUUUCUAUGGGGAAUGGAGCAAUACUUUGUGUAUUGCUCCACUAACAUUGUCGAUGACGGUAAAAAAAUUAACAUGGCAUUUGUGUAUCUUACUGACUUGGCAUGUUUAUGGUGGCAUAGAAGGUGUGACGAGAGGCACGAUGGAGCUGCCAUUUUGACAUUGGUUGCUUUGUGCGAGAGUUGAAGGCUCAAUUCUAUCUUGAGUAUGGCCAAGACGAGGCACGUGAAAAAUUGAGACGCCUAACGCAACGGAUUGGAGUUUAGGAAUAUAUGAAGGAAUUCACCUAACUGAUGCUGCAAAUCAAUGACUUAAGAGAAUGGGAAGCUCUUUUUUGUUUCCUUGACAAGUUGAAAUCGUGGGUAAGGCAAGAGCUUCAGCGUCGCAGAUCUAAGACAUCACUACUGCGAUGGCUGUGGUAGAAUCCUUGAUCGAGUUCAAGAAAUUGGAAGUUGAGAAGGAUGUGGGUAAAGGCAACACCAAGACUCAGGUCAGUGUCAAAUAUCUAUCGAGGGGCAUUACUAGUGAAUAGACUAGCACUUAGGGUAUUGGCCAAUGCAGUUAAGUUGAGAAAGACAAAAGGAAAGGACCCUUGAAGUGCUUUUUAUGUGACGGAACACACUUGGUCUGAGACUGACCCAAAAGAAGCAAGCUUUCUGCCAUCACACGGGAAGACAUUGAUGGGCAGUAGUGGGAUGACACUUUGAGGCUGGGAACCAUGAUACUGGUUGCAUUGAAACAGAACAAGCCAUGCCACAGUAAGGGCUUAAUGUUUAUAGACAUCACGAUGGCGGGCAAGAAACUGAAUACCUUAGUUGACACUGGAGCGAGUGACUGAUUUGCUUUUGCUGAAACAACAAAGAUUUUGGGGCUGGACGUUAAGGUAGGGGCUUCGCAUAUCAAAACUGUCAACAGCAUAGAAGUCCCCACCAUAGGCACUACAAGCAAUGUGAGCAUGCGAUUACGUGAGUGGGUAGGUAAGGAAUCCAUUCAAGUUAUUCUUCUUGAUGAUUAUGAUUUUGUUAUUAGUUUGGAUUUCCUUGACCAUAUUAAUGCCAUAGUUGUCCCAUUCUCAAAUUGCAUUGUUUUACUUAACCCUCGAGGUCAAUAUGUGGUGUUUGUGAGGCACAAACAGUAAUAUGCGACCAAGAUACUGAGUGCCAUACAGCUUGCAAAUGGUGUGCGCAGAGGCAAGGAAACCUACAUCGCCACAUUGUCCUUGAAUGAGGGUGAGCGAAGCGAGGUGACACUAGCGCCCAGCAAGAUAACGAGCAAGAUAACGGGCGUGCUGGACGAGUAUGAGGAUGUGAUGCCAGCCAAGUUGUCAAGUUGCUUACCACCUCAGCGGGUAGUAGACCACAAGAUAAAGCUUGUUCCGGAUGCAUAGCCACCCGCACAGGCACUUUACAGGAUGACACCCCCAAAGCUAGUAGAAUUGCACUAGCAACUCAUGGAAUUGACUGAGGCAGGCUUCAUUCAGCUGAGCAAGGUACCCUAUGGUGUGCUUGUCCUCUUCCAACUGAAGCAUGAUGGAUCGUUGCGCUUGUGCAUCGACUAUCGGGCACUAAACAAGCAGACCAUCAGAAAUUGCUAUCCGAUCCUUAACAUUUUUUAGUUGUUCGACUAGUUAGAUGAGGCCAAAGUUUCUUUAAACUAGAUCAUGGUCCAAGUACUACCAGGUGAGAAUAGUCGAAGGUGACCAAGGGAAGACUACUUGCAUGACGUGCUGUUAUAGCUUCGAGUUCUUAGUGAUGCCUUUCGACUAGACGAAUGCCCCUGCAACGUUUUGCACCCUGAUGAAUAAGGUACUGUCUUCAUUCCUUGACAAGUUUGUGGUGGUCUAUCUUGACGACAUUGUUGUCUAUAGCAAGACCAUGGUGGAGCACAUCGGGCACUUACGAGCGGUGUUUGAGCCCCUACGAUAGUACCAGCUCUACGUCAAAUGGGAAAACUACUCCUUUGGCCAGUCGAAGUUUUUAUUCCUAGGCCACAUCAUUGGGCCAAGCCAGAUUUGGAUGGAUGGGGCUAAAGUCCAAGCUAUCGACUAGUGGGAGCAACCCACAUUCAGUUACACAGUUGAGGAGUUUUCUGAGGCUUGCGAACAAUUAUCGCAAGUUUGUGUGUGGCUACUUCAACAUCGUGGCACCCCUGAUUGACUUGCUGCACAAGGAUCGAGCAUGACGUUGGAGUCCAAAUUGCUAGCAAGCAUUUUAGUGGCUGAAACAGGCCAUGACUGAGGAGCUUAUGUUGCGAUUGCCUGACCCGAGUGUACCGUAUGAGGUACACACUAAUGCCUCGGACUACGCAUUGGGGCGAGUUGGCUCUACAAUGUGCUAGUUGGCUAGCCCACUGUCCUGCCGUCACCCUAGCCAUGUGUGGGCCAGCUAGUGUCACGUGAGUUUUCUCUUGACUCGUGUGACCUAAUCUUUGCCUUACUCAAGUGCUGUUAGAAAGGCUAGCAACCUACUUAUAUAGAACAAAUUAGGAUCGUUUAAGGUAAGCAUAAACAAGAAGAAAGGGCUUAGGGAACAAAGAGAGAGCUUUUAUUUCAUAGAAUUCAAGUACAUGAGUCAUUAGGCUCAAAUGAGGGGGCUUAAGGGGUAUUUAUAAGCCUUAAACCCCUCGGAGUUGUUAUAAGGCCAUUCCUAACGGCUAGGAGUUGUUUUUAGCCCUGUUGGACCCUUUUGAUUUGCCCUAGCCAUUGUUCCCAACGGUAGGCAACGACUGCCCUGCAGGCCCAAGGCUGACUUGUGAGACCUUGACCUUUAUAGACUCGUAAAGGAAAGUAUACGAGAUAUCCCUAAUCAUGGGUAAUUUCGUCAUUUCCUUAGUAAGCCUAUAAAAGUAAGUUUUAAACAAUAUUAUGGCAUAAGUAGGCCUAAGGCAUAAAUGGAUGGUGAAAUUAAGGGUAAAAUGAAAAGAAAACCAAAUUUUGAUGAUUUUCACGAUAGGGGCAAAAUGGUCAUUUUUCACCUCGGGUUACAAUUUUAAGUUUUCAUGAAUCCGAGCAUGUUUAGACCAUUAUGGACCUUGUCUUAGUGUCAAAAGAGUAAAAAGAUUGCAUAAAAGAUUGGAGGAGAAUAAGCUAAUUUGUGGAGGGAUAAUGUGGUAAUUUCAAGGGAAUGGAUAAGAUUAGCUAUAAAUAUCUUUCUUUCAGCAGCUUCUUCUCUCAUUUUCCAGCAACUUCUUUUUCUUCCUCCUUUUUCUCUUUCACGUUGCUUCCAAUUUCCAUGGAAGCUUGAUAUGGAGCUUGCAUAAUUUUUUCUCUCCAUCUCUAGUUUUCAUACCUUGAGCCCUUUUGACUAGAACCCUUGUAUUCUUUCACUCUCUCACUUCAAAACCCUUGAAAAAUCUUAUUUUCAUACUUUCUUUCACUAGUUGGGCGUUCUAGAGAGAGAAAGAGAGAAUUACCCAAUUUGUUUGAAAGUUAUUGGAAGAGAAUUCAACUACAAAGAAACCCUAGGGUGAGUGAUGAACCAAGCCUAAUUUUUAGCUGUGAAUAAUGGCUAGUAAUUGGGAUUAUGAGUUGUUUUAUUAUUGAGUAUGUUCAUUCCUUUUAUAGUGAUUAAGAUAGUGAACAUAAAUAGCCAUUUAAUGUGGCAAUUGAAAGCUAGUUAAGAGAUAACUUUUAGGGUUUAUAGUGUGUGAAUUGACCUAUUGCUUAUGCUAAUGUGAUUCUAGGUUCUAACGAAGUCCCAUCCUUCCAAUUGGAUCAUUAGGGGAAUUAGAGUAAGCUAAAGGCUCAACAAUAUACUGGUGAGUGGACUUGCAUUUCAAACUUGUUUUGGGGAAUGUGAAUGAUUUUAUCUAACUUGACUUUGAAAAUGUACCUUGGGAACAAGGCUUUGGUGAAGUGAUUUUAUAUUGUGAAAAUGUGCUAUACAAUGUGCUAUGUGUUAUCAAAAUAUGAUAGUAUGCAUGAUAUGCAUUAGGUGCUUUUUGUAUGUUGAUGUGGACCCGGCUAUGUGCAAGUUGGAGUGCACAUAAGCCAUUGCUGACCCGAUUAUGUGCGAAUGGGAGUGCACAUAAGUCGUUGCUGACUCGGCUAUGUGUGAGUGGGAGUGUGCAUAAGUCGUUGCAUAUGAGAUAAUGAUGAUGGGAGAGUGUACAUGAUGAUUAAUAUAUAUAUAUAUAUGUACAUACAUAUAUGGUAUAUGGUUGUAAUGCAAAAAUGUGAACAUUUGAUUUGUUGAAAUUUGGGAGUUUGCAUGUGUUACAUGUUGUUUUUGUUAUUUAGUAGGAUGGCUUUAUUUUAAGGGAAAAGGAAACUUUUUUUUUGAUGUUCUGAUUCUCGCUACAGCGAGAAACUCUCGGGUUUUGAAAGGGUAAGCUGGUUGAAAACUCGCUGUAGCGAGAAUCCAUUUUCGCUGCAGCGAGGAAGGUACUGUAACUUCUUGCUGCAGCGAGAAACUUUCUGUUUUAUGAUCAAAAUCUCACUGCAGCGAAAAACUUUUUGUUUUUCACCUCAUUUUGAUCAAUUGUUGCCCUAUUUUCCACUUCUUUGCUACCAUAUUUGAGCAUGGAUUUUCAACAUUAAGGAAUAAGUGAAUUAAGCUUUAAUAUGAGGAGGUUUGGUGAGAAAUCCUCGGUCAGUCAAGAAACCUUCGGUUAGUUGAUAAUUUAAAUCAAGUGUCGUUGCAGCAAAAAUUCAUUCUCGCUGAAGCUACGCUGCAGCGAGAAUGCCUUUCCGUUGCAACGAGGACUUGUCAUUUAUUGACCUAAUUCGCAUGAAUGCUAUUAAAGUUUUCACUCUUCAAAUCCUUUGUUGAGUAUGGACUUCUUCCAAUAAGUGAUUUUUCUCAUGUGGGGUUUACAUGAGGGGUUUAAUAAGAUCAAAAACAAAUUGCAUUGUUUUGAAAAAAAAAUGCAUCAUGAUUUCGUUAAACAUUCCUUAUGGUAUGCUUGUUCCUUUUCUUGUUUACUCACUAGGUUUAUACUCACCAUUUUCAACUUCAUGUUUUCAGAUUACGAGGCAACAGGUAACUAGGACGAGGUGUUCUUAUAGAUUUGUAUCAAUCUUUUGGUAGGUGUCUCGACAUUCAAUAGUUGUACAUUCGUCCCAGUCCCUCCGUUGGAAGUCGAGUAUUCUUUUGUUGUGUAUAGACAAACCUAAUAUAAAUUAUUAAGAUACAUGUUGUAGAUAAUGUAUAUACACUUGUUUAGUAUGCCAGUAUGAAGUGGCAAAUGUUUAAUAUUAUUUUGAUCCUAAGUUAUGAAAUGUGACUUAGCAGUUUAUGAUGGAAUGAUGAACAUGUCAGAUUAAUAGGUUUGCUUGGGCUUAGUUGUCUACGUCCAUUGGGCUCAUGUGUCGGUCAUGACCCAAAAUUUGGGUCGUGACAUGACUAGUGGUUCCCGCGCAUCAAACAGAUUGCCUUGGCAGUUCAUGCACUCUAUUUUGCAUCAGUCUGCCUGUUGUACUAUGCGUCUUUUUUUUAUUGGCCUACUCACCCAGUUUGCUUGUUGGCUUGUGUGCCUUGUCUUUUCUUGGGUGUUACUUUUGAGCCACAAUACUAUUUUGGCACCGAAUAGGAGUCUCAGUCCUUGUUGCUAGCCCAUCCUUGCGCUGGCUCGCCUCAUCUCGAGCCUUAGUCCUCUACAGUCGAGAUGGCUUGGCCUUUACCACAAAAUAAGUGUCACACUCUCUCUCAACUAUGCUGGCAACGCCCUCGUUGCCUGUUUGGUGUAGAACCGCUCUAUGUCCUAAAACUGCCACAAUGCUUGGGCAGGCUUAACUAGUCUCACUAGUUGGUUGUCCUUUCCAUUAGACCAGGUACUAGUGCUGCGGUCGGUGGUUCUUCCUCCUCAGGACCUUCUCGGUUAAGAUCUCCUUGAUUUUUUAGUUAUAUAAGGCCUUCUACCCCAUAGGAUACCUUUGGCUCUAGCAUCUACUCAGGUUGUUUUAGGUCUGCAUGGUUUGGCUUCAGCAUGCUGACAUGGAAGAUCGAUGGACCUUAUGCUCUAGCGGCAUCUCCAGCUUGUAGGUUGUGCGGUCGACCUUCUUUUUGAUGCGAAAGGGCCCUUUGUUCCUCUUGGUCAACCAUUUAUGCAGCUUCUGGUUGUGGAGAAUUUGGUGGAGUUUCACUAAUACUAAAUCCCUAACAUCAGAGCUCACAUCUCGCCUGUGCCUAUCUGCCCACUUCUUGUACUUUAGGGUGGUGCACUCAAGGCUUACCUUGGCUAGGUCUCUCUGCUUAUGCUAAUCCUUAGCAUAUCUGAAAGUUCCCGGUGUUGGCCCUGUAUAGCUGUUGACUAGGGCCCUUAAGGUCAUAGGUUGUUGCCCUGUUACUAGCUAAAAGAGACUCUUCCCUGUCGACUCCAGCUGCUGCAAGUUGUAGCUGAAUUGAGCGAUGUUUAGCAACUUUGCCUAGUUGGACUGAGUGUUAUGGAUGAAGUGCUGCAAAUAGAUCUCCACCAGAUAGUUCACUCGUUCUGUCUGGCCGAUCGUCUGAGGGUUGCAGUUGGUCGAGAAAUGGAGCUUGGACCCUAAUAACUUGAAUAGCUCGGUCUAGAAUUUGCUUGUGAAUCUCCCAUCUCGAUCAUUCACCAAGCUUUCUGGCACACCCCAUAGCUUCACUAUAUGAGCCAUGAACACCCAGGCUGCUUCCUCAGCUUGGCAUUCCCUACUAACAGGCACAAAGGUCCUAUAUUUGCUGAACUUGUCCACUACAACCAUAAUAGCACCAUAAUUGUUUGUUGUAGGUAGGUUAAUAAUAAAAUCCAAGGAUACGGAUUGCCAUGGCCGGUUUGGCAACUCUAGGGGCUCGAGCAAGCCUACCGAUUGCUGCUACUGUCUUUUGUCCUAUUGAUAGACUAAGCAUGUCCGUACGUACGCUUCCACAUCCUUGGUAAGCUUAGGCCAGUAGUAGCAUGCCACUAUCAAUGCUUUAGUUCGCUCAGCUCUUAGAUGUCUUACCCAUAGGGAAUUGUGGUGCUUUCGCAUAAUCUCCUUGUGUAGCCCCUCAGACCUUGGCACGUAGAUCUGGUUCUCUCUAGUCAUGAACAAGUUCCCAUCCAUCCAGAACCAUCUCAUCUUGCCUUCCUUAGCACACUACAUGAUGGCCUAGGCAGUGGCAUCUCUUAUAAGCCUCGCAUGGAUCUUGUCUAGCAUUUCAUCUUAUGCUUGGCUGGUGGCUACCCAUUUUGCCUUGCGGUUUAGUGCUUCUGCGACUCAAUUGGCUGUGCCCGGCUUGUAUUCCAUGGUGAAGUCAAACUUGGCCAAGUAGACUUGCCAUCUAGCUUGCUUGGGAGUGAGCUUCUUUUGGCUGGAAGAAGCUAUUUGCCACAUUGUCAGUCUUCCCCACAAAUCGUGCCCCCAAUAAGUAGUGCCACCAUACCCUCAAGCAAUGCACUAUUACCGUCAUCUUUUUUUCCUGAGCCGUGUAAUUUCUCUCGGUGUCAUUGAGCUUCCUGCUCUUGUAGGCCAUUGAGUGGCCUUGCUGCAUUAGGACUUUUCCUAUGACAUUGUCACAGCCCAAUUCUCGGGCCAUGACCGGCGUAAGGACCCAAUAGGCGUGGCCCAUUAGGCCCAAGCAAGCCUUUCUAUGAAAACUUGUUUAUUAGACCACUUGUCCCUCUUUUACCCCUGAGGUUCUUAAUUUAUAGUUUUCAAAAAUAAUUUUCUUUCGAAAAUAAAUCAUGGCAACUGAACAAUACCAUUCACAAAAUAAUAUUACCAUUUGCCAACUUGUGGCGACAUUAUCAUGCAAACCAAACAUACAGUGUUUACAACAAAUCUUAUGAAUUACAUUUAAUUAACCAUAUACUUAAACAAAAGACCUUGACUAUUAGCGGCGUGACUCUAGCGUGGAUACUAUCAUGGAGUGUUUUGGCAAACCUACCGUAAGAUGAACAGGAAGAAGUGCCUUUACCUAAGAUCCAACUAUCUUCGAACUUGAAAACUAAAAUAUGAAGUUGAAAAGGACGAGUAUAAACCCAGUGAGUGAACAUAGGAAGGGAACAAGCAAACGAAACGGAGAGCUUUUCAAAAACAUGAUGCACUUGUUUAAAAACAAUGCAAUUUUGUAUAUUAUGAACAAAACUUGAUGCCAUGCUAUUUUUCAACUCAUUUUAAAGCAUUUAGGAAGUUCAAGCAAGGUAAACAUAGCAGAACGAAUCUCGUUGCAAGGGAAAGGCAUUACGCUGCAGCGAGAUUGAAUUUUCGCUGCAACGAACUUCAGGGUAAAAUUUUGAACUAACAACUCGAAAGUUUCUCUCUGCAUCGAAAACCCGAGCAGGCAUUUUACCCAACCACUUGAGAGUUUCUCGCUACAGCGAGAAUGAAUUCAUUGUAGCGAGAAAUAGGGAAAUGAAAUUAAAAAAAUUCUUGUCACAACGAAAAUCCAUUUUUGCUACAGUGAAAAUCAAUUGGAAAACAUUUGUCAAAUUUUAACAUUCAAUAUUCAAUGCAAACACAUAAUAUUUUUCCUAACCUCUCUAUGGUAUGUGUAUACAUGUAUACAACUCCCAUCUCACCAGCUCAUGUGCACUCCUACCUCGCACAUGGCAUAUAUAAUUAGUAUGUGCACUCACACAGCACACCACUAUCACAUUUAUGUGCACUCCCACACCGCACAUGGCAUAUAUCAUUAGUGUGUGCACUCCCACAGCACACCACUAUCACCGCCAUGUGCACUCCCACACCGCACAUGCACGGUUACAAUUGUCACCCAAUAGUGCCAUUCAAUGCAUAACAUACACAUCAACAUAAUGUAGAAACACAUGAGUUUAUUACAUUCAUAUUUCACAACAUAAAAACGUUUCAUCAAGGGCGUCUUCCCAUGCAAAUUCUAAAGAAAAACUAAUAAAAUAUUUCAAGUGGUUCAAUCAAGCAUAUAAUCAUUUAUUCCAAAACAUUUUAAUGCAAGUUCACUCACCUUAAUGCCACCUUACAAAACUAGUGCCUACAAAGUCUUAAUCCAAGUAGUCUCGAAAUACUGUUAAAACCUAUGUUUACCAAUAAGCCAUAACAACCUCAAUCAAGACAUAUUUGAAUUAAAUAAUUCUAAUAAAUAUACACUAUACAAUCUACACUCUAACUGUCACGACCUGGAACUCCCAUCGAGCUCGUGACAACCGUCGCGAAGUCUCGUUAGACAUUCUUUAUCCCGAAUGCUAAUCGAAACCUCGCAAGGCUUUCGUAUCAGUUUUCUUACCUCCCCUGUGAUAGACAGUAACUAAAAUCGUGUUUUGAAACAAUAUGGACCAUUUUCCCAUCCAAAACUAAUGAAAAUUUAUUUCUAUCUCACAUGGGUAUUUUAGUCUUUUUUUUUUCUGAAAAUUUUGAAAUCCAUAAAAAAUGUAAUAUGUAAGUAGAAACACAUAUUUCAUGAUUUAAAUUAAAUUUUUAAGUCUAAAACAUUCGUUUAAAGUAAAAUUAUAGCUAUUUGAAUAUAAUAAAAAUAUUAAAUAAAAUAUUCUAUUUUCUUAAAACAUAAUAUUUCAAAGUCUUCCUAAAAUAACUUUUGUAGCGUAAGAGUAAAAUAAAUUUAUUCAUAUAGUAAUAAAGAUAAUUAAAGUAUGAAAUUUCGUUUACAGUGAUACGUGUGCCCCCAACUGACCAAGAAGGUAUAGGGCUACGAACCCUUACUUUCUAGGAUGCAACUCUGAGAUUAAUUCUCGCCUUAGUCAACUAUCAACAAACUGUCCUGAGCUUGAAAAAUGGAUAGGAAGAGGGAUGAGAUUACAUAAUCCCAAUGAGUAAACAAUUACCAUAAAAAGCAUUUAAAGCCGAGUAGAUGGAGACAAUAUAAAAACGUUAUAUCUCAAUAAUGUUCAUUAUGCAAAAUUCGUUUCAAUCUAUACCAAACAAUUUCUUUUCAUCAAACUUUCCCAGCUUAUAAAUUUCUUAAACUUGGCCCUUGCUAGAAUCUUUCUCGCGAGCACCUUCGUCAAGGUAUCCCACUGAGAUGGCCAAAGUUGUUACAUGUCCCAUACCCAUAAAAAUAUUUUCACAUCUGACACACAGUCGUUCCUUGGCGUUAACUAAGUCUCACUCUUACGUGGUAGCCCGAACGUGAGGUGCACUCAAAUCUUACCUCAAGAGAUACUUCAUCCAACAUCUCCCCUCGGAGGUAGGUAUAUAAUUAGGUUACCGUGCCCCUCUCAUAGGCAGUCCACGAAAACCCCCACCACUACAGUGAUUGUUUAAUAUACAAUCAGACCCAUAAAAUUUUCGGUAGCAUAAUACGGCGAAUAAAAUGUAAUCCAAUCUACCGAGACCAAUCACAAACUGUUCAUAUAUUUCAUUCCAACCCCAAAAAUUUAGCCAUCAUGCUACCAUAGUGUUAUAAGCCACAAUUUCAAUAACAUAUAAAAUCAUAAAUUCAACACAGUCUCCAUAUACUCAAUUUUCCCAAAACAAUAUUUGAUUUCAAAAUCAGUAUAAAUCUCAUUUUUUUAUUAAAAAAUAUUUUAAUUGGAAAACAUAAUAUUUUAUAAUUUAAACUCACCAUUCAAUAAAGGCAUCAAACAAGAAUAAUUACUCUAAAUAUUUAAGCUGAUAAAUUGUCCAUUCACAGUAUUAGGAGUAGAAAUACUCUUAUUUUCAAUUUGCGGGUACAGUCCUUUACCUGUAUCCAAUGGCUCACCACCUAGCCAUAAUCCAUGACACAUAUUCUAAUUAAAUUGUGUCUAACAGUCAUAAGCUAUUUCAGGCUUGAUAUAUAUAUGCAUGAUAAGAAAUGAAAAAUGCACGGGUAGCCAUCUAGACCCGGUAUUGGCCUAAGUCGAUUUUUCAUCCGAUAAAUUGGCCAAUGCGUCCAAUUUCACUCCAACUUGCUCCAUUUCUUUUCCAAUCCCUCAAUUCACCAAAGACUAUUAUUUCUUAAUCAAAUCACCUAGAAUAACAUCCCAUUCUUCCUCAUUAUUCACUUAGAGAAUUCGGCUAUUGAUGGGACCAAACCUUUGGUGGUUUUCUUCACUUGUUUUCAUGCUACACAUCAUUAAUCACCCAAAAACACUAACAUACCUAAAAAUCAAGCCAAUCCAAGAUCAUUCUCUCUCCAUACCGAUUUUGACCAGCCAUGAAUUCACCAUGAAAGCAUGCUUUUCAAGCAUGGAAAUUAAGGAAAAAUGCAUGGGUAAGGUAAAUCACUAGCAAAAUCAAAGAAAUUUUACCUUUGCUUGAUCAAAUCCUUGAAUUUCAACACUUUCUCUUUGAUUUUUCCCACCUAGGGUUUGUUCUUCCUUGGUUUCUCUUCUCUUCUGGUUUGG
rnacentral:lncRNA from 1 species